CCUACGGGAGGCAGCAGUGGGGAAUAUUGCACAAUGGGCGCAAGCCUGAUGCAGCCAUGCCGCGUGUAUGAAGAAGGCCUUCGGGUUGUAAAGUACUUUCAGCGGGGAGGAAGGUGUUGUGGUUAAUAACCGCAGCAAUUGACGUUACCCGCAGAGGAAGCACCGGCUAACUCCGUGCCAGCAGCCGCGGUAAUACGGAGGGUGCAAGCGUUAAUCGGAAUUACUGGGCGUAAAGCGCACGCAGGAGGUCUGUCAAGUCGGAUGUGAAAUCCCCGGGCGCAACCUGGGAACUGCAUGCGAAACUGGCAGGCUAGAGUCUUGUAGAGGGGGGUAGAAUUCCAGGUGUAGCGGUGAAAUGCGUAGAGAUCUGGAGGAAUACCGGUGGCGAAGGCGGCCCCUGGACAAAGACUGACGCUCAGGUGCGAAAGCGUGGGGAGCAAACAGGAUUAGAUACCCUUGUAGUC
rnacentral:rRNA from 1 species